UUUGUCUACUUCUCUAAACUGUCAUGAAAAAUUUUACCCAGGUGUUUCUAGCUAGACUUAUUAUUGUUCAGUCGAGUAUGAAAUUUUUGUUAUAUUUGAAAAAUUAUUACGGCAAUAUUUUACCAAAAUAAUAAUAACGUUUGCACCAAAAGAAAAAGAAAGAAAGAAUAAUAACGUGUUAAUAUGUACAGUUUCUUGAGAUCAAAUAUGUAGUAAAGUGACGUAAGACCGUCGAAUACGUAAUAAUACCAAAAAGCUAUAUU
rnacentral:lncRNA from 1 species